rnacentral:rRNA from 1 species
GCUAAAUACUCCUGACUGACCGAUAGUGAACCAGUACCGUGAGGGAAAGGCGAAAAGAACCCCGGCGAGGGGAGUGAAACAGAACCUGAAACCGUGUACGUACAAGCAGUGGGAGCAUGAGUUUACUCAUGUGACUGCGUACCUUUUGUAUAAUGGGUCAGCGACUUAUAUUCUGUAGCAAGGUUAACCGUAUAGGGGAGCCGUAGGGAAACCGAGUCUUAACCGGGCGUUAAGUUGCAGGGUAUAGACCCGAAACCCGGUGAUCUAGCCAUGGGCAGGUUGAAGGUUGGGUAACACUAACUGGAGGACCGAACCGACUAAUGUUGAAAAAUUAGCGGAUGACCUGUGGCUGGGGGUGAAAGGCCAAUCAAACCGGGAGAUAGCUGGUUCUCCCCGAAAGCUAUUUAGGUAGCGCCUCGUGAAUUCAUCUCCGGGGGUAGAGCACUGUUUCGGCCAGGGGGCCAUCCCGGCUUACCAACCCGAUGCAAACUGCGAAUACCGGAGAAUGUUAUCACGGGAGACACACGGCGGGUGCUAACGUCCGUCGUGAAGAGGGAAACAACCCAGACCGCCAGCUAAGGUCCCAAAGUCAUGGUUAAGUGGGAAACGAUGUGGGAAGGCCCAGACAGCCAGGAUGUUGGCUUAGAAGCAGCCAUCAUUUAAAGAAAGCGUAAUAGCUCACUGGUCGAGUCGGCCUGCGCGGAAGAUGUAACGGGGCUAAACCAUGCACCGAAGCUGCGGCAGCGUCGUUGGGUAGGGGAGCGUUCUGUAAGCCUGCGAAGGUGGCCUGUGAGGGUUGCUGGAGGUAUCAGAAGUGCGAAUGCUGACAUAAGUAACGAUAAUGCGGGUGAAAAACCCGCACGCCGGAAGACCAAGGGUUCCUGUCCAACGUUAAUCGGGGCAGGGUGAGUCGACCCCUAAGGCGAGGCCGAAAGGCGUAGUCGAUGGGAAACAGGUUAAUAUUCCUGUACCUGGUGUUACUGCGAAGGGGGGACGGAGAAGGCUAUGUUGGCCGGGCGACGGUUGUCCCGGUUUAAGCGUGUAGGCUGGUUUUCCAGGCAAAUCCGGAAAAUCAAGGCUGAGGCGUGACGACGAGGCACUACGGUGCUGAAGCAACAAAUGCCCUGCUUCCAGGAAAAGCCUCUAAGCCUCAGGUAACAUCAGAUCGUACCCGAAACCGACACAGGUGGUCAGGUAGAGAAUACCAAGGCGCUUGAGAGAACCCGGGUGAAGGAACUAGGCAAAAUGGUGCCGUAACUUCGGGAGAAGGCACGCUGACACGUAGGUGAAGCGGUUUACCCGUGAAGCUGAAGUCAGUCGAAGAUACCAGCUGGCUGCAACUGUUUAUUAAAAACACAGCACUGUGCAAACACGAAAGUGGACGUAUACGGUGUGACGCCUGCCCGGUGCCGGAAGGUUAAUUGAUGGGGUCAGCGCAAGCGAAGCUCCUGAUCGAAGCCCCGGUAAACGGCGGCCGUAACUAUAACGGUCCUAAGGUAGCGAAAUUCCUUGUCGGGUAAGUUCCGACCUGCACGAAUGGCGUAAUGAUGGCCAGGCUGUCUCCACCCGGGACUCAGUGAAAUUGAACUCGCUGUGAAGAUGCAGUGUACCCGCGGCAAGACGGAAAGACCCCGUGAACCUUUACUAUAGCUUGACACUGAACACUGGUCCUUGAUGUGCAGGAUAGGUGGGAGGCUUUGAAGUGUGGACGCCAGUCUGCAUGGAGCCGUCCUUGAAAUACCACCCUUUAAUGGCUGGUGUUCUAACGUAGACCCGUGAACCGGGUUGCGGACAGUGUCUGGUGGGUAGUUUGACUGGGGCGGUCUCCUCCUAAAGCGUAACGGAGGAGCACGAAGGUUGGCUAAUCCUGGUCGGACAUCAGGAGGUUAGUGCAAUGGCAUAAGCCAGCUUGACUGCGAGCGUGACGGCGCGAGCAGGUGCGAAAGCAGGUCAUAGUGAUCCGGUGGUUCUGAAUGGAAGGGCCAUCGCUCAACGGAUAAAAGGUACUCCGGGGAUAACAGGCUGAUACCGCCCAAGAGUUCAUAUCGACGGCGGUGUUUGGCACCUCGAUGUCGGCUCAUCACAUCCUGGGGCUGAAGUAGGUCCCAAGGGUAUGGCUGUUCGCCAUUUAAAGUGGUACGCGAGCUGGGUUUAGAACGUCGUGAGACAGUUCGGUCCCUAUCUGCCGUGGGCGCUGGAGAACUGAGGGGGGCUGCUCCUAGUACGAGAGGACCGGAGUGGACGCAUCACUGGUGUUCGGGUUGUCAUGCCAAUGGCACUGCCCGGUAGCUAAAUGCGGAAGAGAUAAGUGCUGAAAGCAUCUAAGCACGAAACUUGCCCCGAGAUGAGUUCUCCCUGAGACUACAAGUCUCCUGAAGGAACGUUGAAGACGACGACGUUGAUAGGCCGGGUGUGUAAGCGCAGCGAUGCGUUGAGCUAACCGGUACUAAUGAACCGUGAGGCUUAACCUUACAACGCCGAAG